rnacentral:tRNA from 1 species
GGGGGUUUAGCUCAGUUGGUAGAGCGCCUGCUUUGCAAGUAUGAUGUCUGGAGUUCUAGACNCCUAACCCCUGC